rnacentral:rRNA from 1 species
GGAGGAAGGNGGGGAUGACGUCAAGUCCUCAUGGCCCUUACAGGCUGGGCUACACACGUGCUACAAUGGCAUCUACAGUGGGCAGCUAUCCCGCGAGGGUGAGCUAAUCUCCAAAAGAUGUCUCAGUUCGGAUUGUUCUCUGCAACUCGAGAGCAUGAAGGCGGAAUCGCUAGUAAUCGCGGAUCAGCAUGCCGCGGUGAAUACGUUCCCAGGCCUUGUACACACCGCCCGU